GUAGGUGGCAAGCGUUGUCCGGAAUUAUUGGGCGUAAAGCGCGCGCAGGCGGUUCUUUAAGUCUGAUGUGAAAGCCCUCGGCUCAACCGUGGAGGGUCAUUGGAAACUGGAGAACUUGAGUACAGAAGAGGAAAGCGGAAUUCCACGUGUAGCGGUGAAAUGCGUAGAGAUGUGGAGGAACACCAGUGGCGAAGGCGGCUUUCUGGUCUGUAACUGACGCUGAGGCGCGAAAGCGUGGGGAGCAAACAGGGAUUAGAUACCCUGGUAGUCCACGCCGUAAACGAUGAGUGCUAAGUGUUAGGGGGUUUCCGCCCCCUUAGUGCUGCAGCUAACGCAUUAAGCACUCCGCCUGGGGAUACGGCCGCAAGGCUG
rnacentral:rRNA from 1 species